AGUGGACGCUGGCGGUAGGCCUAACACAUGCAAGUCGAACGGCAGCACAGUAAGAGCUUGCUCUUACGGGUGGCGAGUGGCGGACAGGUGAGGAAUACAUCGGAAUCUACUUUUUCGUGGGGGAUAACGUAGGGAAACUUACGCUAAUACCGCAUACGACCUACGGGUGAAAGCAGGGGAUCUUCGGACCUUGCGCGAUUGAAUGAGCCGAUGUCGGAUUAGCUAGUUGGCGGGGUAAAGGCCCACCAAGGCGACGAUCCGUAGCUGGUCUGAGAGGAUGAUCAGCCACACUGGAACUGAGACACGGUCCAGACUCCUACGGGAGGCAGCAGUGGGGAAUAUUGGACAAUGGGCGCAAGCCUGAUCCAGCCAUACCGCGUGGGUGAAGAAGGCCUUCGGGUUGUAAAGCCCUUUUGUUGGGAAAGAAAAGCAGCAGGUUAAUACCCCGCUGUUCUGACGGUACCCAAAGAAUAAGCACCGGCUAACUUCGUG
rnacentral:rRNA from 1 species